GAAAGCUUAGCUAAUACCGGAUACGCUUUAUUUAUCGUAGGGUAAUUAAAGGAAAGAUGACCUCUGCUUGCAAGUUAUCGCAUUAGGAUGAGUUUGCGUACCAUUAGCUAGUUGGUGGGGUAAUGGCCUACCAAGGCUACGAUGGUUAGCGGGUCUGAGAGGAUGAUCCGCCACACUGGAACUGGAACACGGACCAGACUCCUACGGGAGGCAGCAGUGAGGAAUUUUGCGCAAUGGGGGAAACCCUGACGCAGCGACGCCGCGUGGGUGAUGAAGGCUUUCGAGUUGUAAAACCCUGUCAGGUGGGAAGAAAUGCUAAGUAGUUAAUACCUGCUUAGUUUGACGGUACCACCAGAGGAAGCACCGGCUAACUCCGUGCCAGCAGCCGCGGUAAUACGGAGGGUGCAAGCGUUGUUCGGAAUUACUGGGCGUAAAGGGCGCGCAGGCGGCCUGUCAAGUCAGGUGUGAAAGCCCACGGCUUAACCGUGGACGUGCAUCUGAAACUGAUAGGCUUGAGUAUGGGAGAGGAAAGUGGAAUUCCCGGUGUAGAGGUGAAA
rnacentral:rRNA from 1 species